rnacentral:lncRNA from 1 species
CUCAAACAGAAUCUCUUGGUGGGAUCCAUAUUAGAGGACGUGAGGGAAAAAAUGUGCCUAAGGCCAUAUUUUCUGACAAGCAACUCUUCUGUUACUAGAAAGAGUUAGCCAAGAGAUAGGAAGGAAGGGGGCUGAGAGGAAGGUAGGGACAGUACCGUGGAGGUGUGGGGCGUGAUUCUGAAAACCAGCAUCCGCGCUUCAUGUCUGAUGAUGUCAGUAAUGAUGUAUUGUUGAUAAUUGAACUCGUCACAUUCAUAAAUAUCUCAGCACGUAUCCAUCCAGAGCAAACACAUCGUUUGAUGUAACCACAAUGCAACGCGGUGCUGAGAAAACAGAACAUUGGUUUGCUAUCAACCACAUUAACCACAAUUCAUAUCUCCACAGAUCCUGCUCAUCCCAUGAGCCAUGGCGCUAUGGUGCUCAGCAGGCCUCGAGUGUCCUUGGCAACAUGAAUUCAACUACCAUCUCCUAGCAACCUCCUCAAAUGCUGUCCUAAAGACAUUUCACAGCUAGCAGGGGAGAUGCCAAAGACAAAGGGGAGAGAUUACAGUUGGAGGAAGAAAGAAAGCCGUGCUCAGGAGCCAGAGCGAACUGAAGAAUGGUCUAAAAAGCCUCCUUGGAACAAAUAAUUCUACACAAGGCAAAGCUGAACGCGUUGGCUCGACCAGAUAGAUGCCUUCUUCUGGGACGGCAAAAGAAAUGCUCUGGAGAUCUUGCCAGAAAUCUCCAGAUAUCACUGUAUCUUCACACAGUAUACAAUGUUGGUCCGAUUUCAUUGGCUCCCACUUCCACUACCAUCUCACUUCUCUUGCAAAUCCUCCCCUGCUCUAGGCUCUAUCCCUCCCACCCGCAAAAUGAAGAUGGGUUAGAUUUAUCUCUCGGAUAUAAUCUUAGCCCUUACAUUUUAAUGUUUCUGGACGCUUCGUCCUGCUUUAUAUCUGAUCUCUUGAAAAGUCAAUAGGUGGUACUGAAAAGUUGGCAAAAUAAAUUAAUUUGGGGAUUAUUCUUCAUACAAAAC